rnacentral:rRNA from 1 species
UAACGCGUGGGGAACCUGCCUCAAAGAGGGGGACAACAGUUGGAAACGACUGCUAAUACCGCAUAAGCCCACGGCUCGGCAUCGAGCAGAGGGAAAAGGAGCAAUCCGCUUUGAGAUGGCCUCGCGUCCGAUUAGCUAGUUGGUGAGGUAAUGGCCCACCAAGGCGACGAUCGGUAGCCGGACUGAGAGGUUGAACGGCCACAUUGGGACUGAGACACGGCCCAGACUCCUACGGGAGGCAGCAGUGGGGAAUAUUGCACAAUGGGGGAAACCCUGAUGCAGCGACGCCGCGUGGAGGAAGAAGGUCUUCGGAUUGUAAACUCCUGUUGUUGAGGAAGAUAAUGACGGUACUCAACAAGGAAGUGACGGCUAACUACGUGCCAGCAGCCGCGGUAAAACGUAGGUCACAAGCGUUGUCCGGAAUUACUGGGUGUAAAGGGAGCGCAGGCGGGAAGACAAGUUGGAAGUGAAAUCCAUGGGCUCAACCCAUGAACUGCUUUCAAAACUGUUUUUCUUGAGUAGUGCAGAGGUAGGCGGAAUUCCCGGUGUAGCGGUGGAAUGCGUAGAUAUCGGGAGGAACACCAGUGGCGAAGGCGGCCUACUGGGCACCAACUGACGCUGAGGCUCGAGAGUGUGGGUAGCAAACAGGAUUAGAUACCCUGGUAGUCCACACUGUAAACGAUGAUUACUAGGUGU